CCCUUAGAUGUUCUGGGCCGCACGCUCGCUACACUGAUGCAUUCAACGAGUUUCUUCCUGGUCCGAGAGGAAUGGGUAACCUUUUGAAAGUGCAUCGUGAUAGGGAUAGACUAUUGCAAUUAUUGGUCUUCAACGAGGAAUUCCUAGUAGACGUAGUUCAUCAGACUGCAUCGAUUACGUCCCUGCCCUUUGUACACACCGCCCGUCGCUCCUACCGAUUGAGUGGUCCGGUGAGGCUUUGGGAUCUGAGCGGAAAGAGCGUUUCGCUGUUUCUGCUCGGAAAACUCAGUCGAACCUUAUCAUUUAGAGGAAGGAGAAGUCGUAACA
rnacentral:rRNA from 1 species